GAUCUGUGAGAUAGCAGCUUACGCUAGACAUUAAUCUCAGCGGUUGUCUCUUUCUCGCUUUAAUUUACUCUGUUCAUAGUGAUGAGAUUGAGCGUGAUAGGAACAGUUUUAACGUAUAGUUUAAUUGUUUGUUUUCUUUUUCCAGUGUGAAACAUUUGAUUACAUUUGACAGCACAAGUACAAACUGGCACAAAGGGAGGCGGCCAUUUUAUAGUUGGUAUUCAACGAGUGGAGUUUCGUUCUUCACGUUUACUUUGAAUUUUGGUUUACCAAUUGAAAUUGAAAAUCACGUACAAAAUAAGUAUACGUAAUUAGAAUAAGACAUUAAAGUUAUUUAUGUAUUGACUGUCAAGACCAGUUAGCAAUGGACGAUCCGAACCGGAUGAUGGCGCAUAGCGGCGGAAUGAUGGGACCGCAGGGUUAUGGGCUGCCUGGAGGAGAAGGCGCACCAGCCUCUGAAGGAGGCGAAGCUCGCAAGCAGGACAUUGGCGAAAUUUUACAACAAAUAAUGAACAUUACAGAUCAAAGCUUAGAUGAAGCGCAGGCGAGAAAACACACGCUGAACUGCCAUAGAAUGAAGCCUGCUCUGUUUUCAGUACUCUGUGAAAUUAAAGAAAAGACAGUGCUAUCUCUGAGAAACACUCAAGAGGAGGAGCCACCUGAUCCCCAGCUGAUGAGGCUUGACAAUAUGUUGAUUGCGGAGGGUGUAGCUGGACCAGAGAAAGGUGGAGGUGCUGGUGCUGCCGCCUCGGCAUCUGCUGCGGCCGGUGAAUGGGAUAAUGCCAUCGAGCACUCGGACUACCGUGCAAAACUGGCGCAGAUACGGCAGAUCUAUCAUCAGGAGCUCGACAAGUACGAGAAUGCCUGCAAUGAGUUCACUACACACGUCAUGAAUUUGCUAAGAGAGCAAAGUCGCACCAGACCUAUCACCCCUAAGGAAAUUGAACGCAUGGUGCAAAUAAUUCACAAGAAGUUUAGCUCCAUCCAGAUGCAGCUCAAGCAGUCCACUUGCGAGGCAGUGAUGAUUCUGCGCUCACGUUUCCUGGACGCGCGCAGAAAGCGCCGUAACUUCAGCAAGCAAGCGUCGGAGAUCCUCAAUGAAUACUUCUACUCGCAUCUGUCGAACCCGUACCCCAGCGAGGAGGCGAAAGAGGAGCUGGCGCGCAAGUGCGGCAUUACCGUAUCGCAGGUCUCUAAUUGGUUUGGCAACAAGCGCAUUCGCUACAAGAAGAACAUUGGCAAGGCGCAAGAGGAGGCCAACCUUUAUGCUGCCAAGAAAGCAGCCGGUAGUAGGGAUGAAUUCCGUUCCGGUGGAGGGUGGGGACCUAAUGUGAAGCAGCUGUAUGAGUAGUCGUGUGCGUGUGCGUGUGCGUGCGGAGAGUGGUGAGUGUGUGCGCGUGUGCGUGCAGCAGCGGGCGCGUCGCCGUACUCGCUGGGCGGAGCCUCGGGCGCGGCCACUCCGCUGAUGUCGCCGGCGCCGCCCCAGGACUCGCUGGGCUACUCGCUGCCGGCGCCGCCCUACGACCAGCAGCCGCCCUACGACGCCUCCAUGCCCUACGACCCCAUGCACCAGGAUCUAUCGCCCUAAUCGCCACACAUAUGUUGACGACAUGACGCAUAAUCGUGCAGCUUCCACUGAAUUGCCAUUUACAUUACAUAAUAUUAUGUAUAUCGUUAGGUAAAGGAGUACUGCGAGUGCUCGCCUCUACGCGCCCUCUCGGAACACAACGACCUCUGCAACCUGCAAUAUUCCAAAUCAAUGGAAUGUAAAUUAUUUAAAACUGUUCACUGCUUGUUUUCUCAUGUAUUUGAAUAUUUAAAGUUCCAUUACUGAAGUAUUGUUACGAUGAGAAAUGUGUUCUGAGAGUGUAGCCCUUGCCUUAGGACAUAGAACAUUGUAUACUAUGCAUUAUUAGCACGUUACAUAAUAUUUUUAUCGUAUUUUUGGAGGUAAAUGUAAUUGAAAUGUAUUUAAUUUUUAUUAAUCUAUAUGACUGGCCCCCAGUAUUUAUUUUAUACAAUAUUUUUCUAAAACGACUUGAAAAGGCAACUUUAUUAGUAUUAUUUUGUUUUUAUUAUUAUUUUAAUACCAGUUAUAAUUUUUUGAAGUAAUUAUUUGGACAGUAUUAGUAUUAAUUAUGUCGAGAAUCAGAAGGCCGGGAUCUCUGUACGUUCACUAUUCAACUCUACGGUGGUUAUAUUUAUACGAUAGCUGUAAGUCUUAGUUUAUAGUGUAACAUUAUAGAUUUAAGGGAUCAGAUAUUUUGUGCUGUAAUAUUUCCACUAAUGCGUCCCUACCGUGUAUACUAAAAUGGCUUAGAUAUUGUUAUUUUCCGACUUGGUACUUAACUAAACAUAUGUUAUCGAUUUUAAUUUAGUUCUCAUUUUAAAUUUAACAGCGAAAUUUCGGUCCGCCCUCAAUCAUGUACGUGUUAGAUCUGCCCAUUAUUAUUGCCAUUAUGAAAAAUUAAGACUUGAAUUAUGUUUUUGAUUCAUCUACAGAUUAAUGUUUGGAACGAAAUUUGACUGUGUUGCCAUUCAUUUAUAUGUAGAAAAAAAAAAAAUGUCUGAGAAAAGUACGCACGCCCAUGUUUAUAUACCGUUGAUAGUGCGGACAUUCGUGUGCAAUUUUAUAUUUUAAUGAAUGGUUGUGUUACUGUGUCGAGCAUGUUAAUGGAAUUGAUUAUUUUAUACUAUUACUUGAUUUUUUAAUCGAUAUUUUGAAUGUAAUCAUGUGAUUAUUAUUUUUAUUAUUUGACAUGAUUUUUGUUGUGAAUAUAUAAAACUUCAGUGAUUUUUUUUUGUAAAUUUAACAACAUGGUGCUGUCGGUGCGGCAUCACUUUAUCUCGUUCAGUUGUAAGUUUUAUUAUGUUUCGUCGUUGACUAUCGCAGAAGGAUCAAGACUAUUUAGUUCCACGUAGACGACUAUUACGGAAACGUUGCGAGCGUCACAUUAUACGUGUUCUAAAAACAAAAUAUCUGAAACAGUAUACGAGAAAUUAAACGGAGAAAUUAAAAAAAUAUUUGUUUAAAACUGUGGAACGUUAAUAUUAUAAAGAGACGCGUCGUCGCCAUUAAUAAUUAUGGUUUAGAACUUACUAUAUUUAUAUGUGACGACGCGGACACCAUGUAUACGACGACGAGUUCAAUGUUAUUGCGACCAUCAGAUUGACUAAAUACAUUUUUUGUGUAGUUAUAA